AAUCAUUUUUUAUACACGUGGAAAGUAGGUACAAGUAGUAAGGCGGCCCACGUCCCAGCAUCCCCAGCUCAACAAUGCCUGUACUUAACGUGCCGCCAUAAUCACCCGUACACGUCUCCACUAUCAACGGCUAAGAUGCACUAGAAUCUGACCCAAAUUGUUAAUCCAGGUGGCCGUUACUUUCCAUAAACCCUUUCUAAACCCGAAUCCAAGGUAUAUAUAUAUAUGACAUAAAUUCAUUUGGCCAUUCAAGCAUAAGCCAUUGUUUUGUUUGUGGGCUUCAUCCACAAGGUUAAAACCAGAAAAAAGAGUUUGAAUUUUUAUUUUUCUGAAGCUUUUAGGGGGUUUUUGAGCUAUUUGGGUUUUUGUAGUAAUGGAGAUGUUGAGAGUUUCUUUUGUGAUGACCAUUUUUGCACUUUUAUUGGCUCUGGUUCUUCCUGCGAUUAAUGCCCAGAUCCCUGCUCCUGCUCCUGCUCCUGCUCCUGCUCCUGCAAGUGAUGGUAUACUUUCUCUCUCUCUCUCUCUCUAUAUAUAUAUAUGUGUUUGCACAGCUGUUUUCUUAAAUGUAAACAUUAUACGAUGUUCACUCAGCUGUGUUUCUAAAUGUGCACAGUCUACGAGCGUAGAGUAGUCACUCUACGAACUGAAAAUUCACUCUAUGUUUUUACGAUAGUAAAGUGAUUACUCUAUUAUCAGUAAGUAACUACUCUACGAUCGAUCGUAGGAUAAUUCAAUUGUGGCAUGUGCACCUCCAUUUUUUUCUAUAUAAAAUGAAUUUUAAUUUUCAGAUUCUACUUUUGUUGGUGUGGGUAUUUGUAGCAGAAUCAAGAAUGUGUGAUUGGACUAAAAGGGGAUUUUUAUUUUUAUUUUUUGUGUUUUUGGGUGAAUAAUGUUGUGUUUGUAUAUUGUAGGAGCAGCAAUAGACCAAGGAAUUGCAUAUGUGCUGAUGCUGCUAGCUUUGGCGCUUACCUAUAUCAUUCAUUGAUUGUGGGGUUUUUCAAGAUUAGCUCAAACUCAAUUGAUUGCCUUCUUCUUGUUUGUUUCACAAUUAUUUGAUUCAAAAUCUAUUCUUUUUUCUUGGAUUUAUUCUUUGGUCUUGUUCUCUUUAUCUUGAUCUUUGUGUGGUUUGGACUAAGAUGAUGUUUGAUAAAAUUGAGUAAUUAAGAUCUGAUUAAUACAUCUUAAUAAAUUAGAUCAUCUAAAUAAAAUAACAUCUAAAAACAUAAAACCUCUUAAUGGCACUAUUUUGUAGUUUUAAGUUAUUUGAAAGAUUUUAAAAUUUGAAAUUGGAGUACAAUAUUUAUUGAGGUUAUUUUUGUCCAUAAAUUUUAAAUAAACUAUUAAGAGACGGCUCUUAAUAGUUAAUAUUUGAGUUUCUGUCUUAACGAUUAAGAAACAUUAAGAGGCAAAAAAAAAAUUAUCAAACAAAAUUUACUUCUGACCAAAUCAGAGACAAGUGAAUUAAGAGACAUACACAAAUAAACAAACACCGCCAAAGUCUAAAUUUAAAAACAAACAAGACACUUGGAUUCUAUUUAUUUGUAAGGAUUAUAAUCUCGAAAUUAUAAUACCUAGUCAGAUAUGAUAUUAAAUAAACUCCCAUAUUAAGACAUUUUAUAAUCUCUGAACUAAUAGUCCCAACUCUAAAUUUAAAAACAAACAAAACACUUAAAAUUAAUAAUCUUAAUCCAAAUAUAAUCUUUACAUACAAACAUAUCCUUGAGAUUAAUAGUCCUAUCAAACAUAGCCUAGAAGAAUUCAAGUUUGCUUGAUUAUUAAAACAGAAGGUUACUGCAAUAUUUUAGCGAGUUAUGCAUACCAAAUAUGGAGUUGGGAAAAAUAGCAAAUUCUCCAAGAAAAAUCCAAAAAAUUAAACUUGCUAUUUCUGUAGAAAAAGCACAUGGGGUUUUUACCAUUCUACAAGGAUUUCCCAGGUUUUGAGUUGUAAUUUGUUUGGCCUAGAAAUAGAAGUUAUUUUGCAAAGAUAUUAUUUCUACACAACACAACACAUUUACAUAUAUCUUUAAAAAGAAUAUUUAUUACAUAUAGUAGUAUCUAAAAGUGACAUUAAAAUUAGUAAAGAAAAGAAACUUACUUAUCAAAUACCAAAGGGCAGAAUACAAUCUUAAUGGAACAUUCUGCAGUUUCA
rnacentral:lncRNA from 1 species